rfam:Asian citrus Psyllid, Diaphorina citri - Florida Strain, whole genome shotgun sequence.
GCCUAGUUGGCUUAGUUGGUAGCGUGUCAGCCUUGUGAGCGCUAAGCCGCGGGUUCGAUUCCCGCCCGGGGCG